rnacentral:rRNA from 1 species
UGCCAGCCGCCGCGGUAAUACGGAGGGUGCAAGCGUUGUUCGGAAUUAUUGGGCGUAAAGCACGUGUAGGCGGUUCGUUAAGUCUGAUGUGAAAGCCCGGGGCUCAACCCCGGAAGUGCAUUGGAAACUGGCGAACUUGAGUACGGGAGAGGAAAGUGGAAUUCCGAGUGUAGGGGUGAAAUCCGUAGAUAUUCGGAGGAACACCAGUGGCGAAGGCGGCUUUCUGGACCGAUACUGACGCUGAGGCGCGAAGGCGUGGGUAGCGAACGGGAUUAGAUA